GUAGUAGCUCAGUGGUUGAGCAUCUGCCUUGCAUGCAGGAAGUUCCAGGUUCAAUCCCUGGCAUCUCCA
rnacentral:tRNA from 1 species